rnacentral:rRNA from 1 species
UACGUAGGGGGCAAGCGUUAUCCGGAUUUACUGGGUGUAAAGGAAGCGUAGACGGCAAUACAAGUCGGAAGUGAAAUACCCGGGCUCAACCUGGGAACUGCUUUGGAAACUGUAUGGCUGGAGUGCUGGAGAGGUAAGCGGAAUUCCUAGUGUAGCGGUGAAAUGCGUAGAUAUUAGGAGGAACACCAGUGGCGAAGGCGGCUUACUGGACAGUAACUGACGUUGAGGCUCGAAAGCGUGGGGAGCAAACAGG